rnacentral:rRNA from 1 species
AAUUUUCGGCAAUGGGCGCAAGCCUGACCGAGCAACGCCGCGUGAAGGAUGAAGGCCUUCGGGUCGUAAACUUUUGUCUUUGGGGACGAUAAUGACGGUACCCAAGGAGGAAUCCCCGGCUAACUACGUGCCAGCAGCCGCGGUAAGACGUAGGGGGCUAGCGUUGUCCGGAAUUACUGGGCGUAAAGGGCGCGUGGGCGGCCUGAUAAGUCAGAUGUGAAAUCCCAAGGCUUAACCGUGGGUUUGCAUUUGAAACUGUUAGGCUUGAGGGCAGGAGAGGAAAGCGGAAUUCCCAGUGUAGCGGUGAAAUGCGUAGAUAUUGGGAGGAACACCAGUGGCGAAGGCGGCUUUCUGGACUGCACCUGACGCUGAGGCGCGAAAGCUAGGGGAGCGAAC